rnacentral:rRNA from 1 species
GACGAACGCUGGCGGCGUGCUUAACACAUGCAAGUCGAACGGAAAGGCCCUGCUUUUGUGGGGUGCUCGAGUGGCGAACGGGUGAGUAACACGUGAGUAACCUGCCCUUGACUUUGGGAUAACUUCAGGAAACUGGGGCUAAUACCGGAUAGGAGCUCCUGCUGCAUGGUGGGGGUUGGAAAGUUUCGGCGGUUGGGGAUGGACUCGCGGCUUAUCAGCUUGUUGGUGGGGUAGUGGCUUACCAAGGCUUUGACGGGUAGCCGGCCUGGGAGGGUGACCGGCCACAUUGGGACUGAGGUACGGCCCAGUCUCCUACGGGCGGCAGCAGUGGGGAAUAUUGCACAAUGGGCGGAAGCCUGAUGCAGCAACGCCGCGUGCGGGAUGCCGGCCUUCGGGUUGUAAACCGCUUUCGCCUGUGACGAAGCGUGAGUGACGGUAAUGGGUAAAGAAGCACCGGCUAACUACGUG